GAUGACCGGUUCAGGUUCAGCGGACUCCUUAGUUUACAGGAAGUAACCAUUGCAAUAAAAACAGCGACCUCUAGAGAGUAAAGUGAGAGCGAGAACAUCUGGAUGCCGACAGGGCAGAAAAAGCAGGUGACAUGGAGACUUCCUGGCAGACCCCUACACCAUGGCAACAGCUGUGUCCUAAAGAAUCUGUUCACCGGAGGUGUGGCUUAUUGUAUCACCGCCUCCGACUGACGGCAGUCAGCGUAAGCACAUUUCAAUAGGAAACCUGCACAUUAGCAUUUCGAAUAUUUCUCUCAAACAGCAGAAAACAUUUAAAUACAAAAUUGACCAUACAUUUUGUGUGGGCCACAGGCACGUUGUGACAAAGUACAGCUCCUUAAAAAAAUAAGAUACCUUUCUUUCGGGAACUGUAUAUAAAAAAUUUGUAGUUUAUCUUCCAGCUCCCUGGUUCAUCUGAAGUUAGAUGCCUGGAUUAAUUUUUAAGUAUUUCCUGUCCUAAUUUUAGCAUGUUUUUCUAUGCUCUCCCUAAAUGUAUCGGACUCAGUAAAAAAUAUGUAUAUUAAACCCCUGCCAACAUA